GCAUAACGCGAAGAACCUUACCUAGGCUUGAACUCCUACGAACCUGUUGUAAUGGACGGGGUGCCCGCAAGGGAAUGUAGUGAGAGGUGCUGCAUGGCUGUCGUCAGCUCGUGUUGUGAAAUGUUGGGUUAAGUCUCGUAACGAGCGCAACCCCUAUCGUCUGUUGCCAGCAUUUAGUUGGGCACUCUGACGAGACUGCCUGGGUUAACCAGGAGGAAGGUGGGGAUGACGUCAAGUCCUCAUGGCCCUUAUGUCUAGGGCUACACACGUAAUACAAUGGCGCGUACAAAGGGAAGCGAACUCGCGAGGGGGAGCAAAUCUCAAAAAGCGCGCCUCAGUUCGGAUUGGAGUCUGCAACUCGACUCCAUGAAGUUGGAAUCGCUAGUAAUCGGAGAUCAGCACGCUCCGGUGAAUACGUUCCCGGGUCUUGUACACACCG
rnacentral:rRNA from 1 species